rnacentral:rRNA from 1 species
UUAUACAGCGACUGCGAAUGGCUCAUUAUAUAAGUUAUCGUUUAUUUGAUAGUACCUUACUACUUGGAUAACCGUGGUAAUUCUAGAGCUAAUACAUGCUAAAAAUCCCGACUUCGGAAGGGAUGUAUUUAUUAGAUUAAAAACCAAUGCCCCUCGGGGCUCUCUGGUGAUUCAUAAUAACUUCUCGAAUCGCACGGCCUUGCGCCGGCGAUGGUUCAUUCAAAUUUCUUCCCUAUCAACUUUCGAUGUUUGGGUAGUGGCCAAACAUGGUUGCAACGGGUAACGGAGGGUUAGGGCUCGACCCCGGAGAAGGAGCCUGAGAAACGGCUACUACAUCCAAGGAAGGCAGCAGGCGCGCAAAUUACCCAAUCCCGAUUCGGGGAGGUAGUGACAAUAAAUACUGAUACAGGGCUCUUUCGGGUCUUGUAAUUGGAAUGAGUACAAUUUAAAUCCCUUAACGAGGAACAAUUGGAGGGCAAGUCUGGUGCCAGCAGCCGCGGUAAUUCCAGCUCCAAUAGCGUAUAUUAAAGUUGUUGUGGUUAAAAAGCUCGUAGUUGAACCUUGGGCCUGGCUGGCCGGUCCGCCUCACCGCGUGUACUGGUCCGGCCGGGUCUUUCCCUCUGUGGAACCACAUGCCCUUCACUGGGCGUGGCGGGGAAACAGGACUUUUACUUUGAAAAAAUUAGAGUGCUCCAGGCAGGCCUAUGCUCGAAUACAUUAGCAUGGAAUAAUGAAAUAGGACGUGCGGUUCUAUUUUGUUGGUUUCUAGGACCGCCGUAAUGAUUAAUAGGGACAGUCGGGGGCAUCAGUAUUCAAUUGUCAGAGGUGAAAUUCUUGGAUUUAUUGAAGACUAACUACUGCGAAAGCAUUUGCCAAGGAUGUUUUCAUUAAUCAGAACGAAAGUUAGGGGAUCGAAGACGAUCAGAUACCGUCGUAGUCUUAACCAUAAACUAUGCCGACUAGGGAUCGGACGAUGUUAUUUAGUUGACUCGUUCGGCACCUUACGAGAAAUCAAAGUGCUUGGGCUCCAAGGGGAGUAUGGUCGCAAGGCUGAAACUAAAGAAAUUGACGAGGGCCACCACCAGGGUGGAGCUGCGCUAUUUGAACUCAACACCGGG